GUGCUCACUUCAGCAGCACAUAUACUAAAAUUGGAAUGAUGCAGAGAAAAUUAGCAUGGCCCCUGUGCAAGGAUUACAUGCAAAUUCAUGAAGCAUUCCAUAUUUAA
ensembl:snRNA U6 U6 spliceosomal RNA